GGGCUCGAACUCACGGACCGCGAGAUCGUGACCUGGCUGAAGUCGGACGCUUAACCGACUGCGCCACCCAGGCGCCCCAGAAAAAUUAUUUUCUUAAUGGAAGGAAUGACUCCUCACUUUUUGGCCCAUAUAUCUGAGGGUUUCUUAAGGUGGUGUCACGCAUGGAACGGACUACCCUUAACUACGUAAUUUUGUUUCUUUGAAGAUAAAAAGUUCUAAAGGAUACUGUACACGGUAUGUUAACGACCUUUUUCAUUUUCUUUUUGUACAUACUCUGGCUUUGGUAAUUGACACGUUACAGUGAUUACUUCCUAUCGUAUUUUAAGAUACCCUAAUCUUUUAAUCAUAUUCAUAAAAAUAUGCUUACCUAAAGAAGGAGCGAGCCAAUAUACUAUAAAAAAUCGAAGGAAUGCUUCAUCAAAACACUUCAAAUGUAGUGAAAGUGCCAAAGCUGGAUUAAAUACAGCUCCUGUUAGACUUCCUCCUGUAAUACAUUUUAAGCAGAGUGAUACCAAACCAUAUAUUUUACAUUUUCAUGUAACUAGAAAUAAAGGGGUUACUAGAUACAACUACUUUGUUUUAGGUGUUUAAGUAUUCUUAUGCUAUAAUCUUCCUUUGCAGAACCACCGUGCAUAUUAUAGAGUAUAAAAAUAGAUUGUAGAUGAUAAUAUGCCAGGUAUUAAAAAAGGACAUAAGAGUUUUAAUCCAGUGCUUUUCCUAUGUAUUACAGAAUGCACAUUGAAAGUUAAUCUACUCUAUUAUUGUUCCUACAAGUUUAUGAAAUAGGAGACUUGGCUGCCCAUCUUAACAUUCACCAAUUUAAAUGAAUGAAUAAUAAUGAAAAUACAUUUAAAAUGGAUACAAUGCCCCAGAAUCCUCUUGGACUUAAGUAUCUCUUUGUGUUUAAAACAAAAGUAAAAUGAACCAAAGCGUUA